CAAAAUUUUGCACAAAAAUGCCACUAUAAGUCUUCUAUAUUCUUAAAAAAAUUCAGCUCAAUCCAACUUACAAAUUGUGAAAAAAAGUCCAAAAACCGCAUUGAUGUUACUUGGUUGCCAGCUUAAAAGUUGAUGUAGAUGUUCCAAUAGCGACCUCUUCUUCUCAAAUUAUAAACUUCAACUCAAAAUUGGUGUGUAGCUUGAUCUUGAA
rnacentral:lncRNA from 1 species